rnacentral:tRNA from 1 species
GCAUCCGUAGUCUAAUUGGAUAAAAUAGUGCCCUCCGACGGCAUUGUUUCGGGUUCGAGUCCCGACGGGUGCGCCA